rnacentral:rRNA from 1 species
GGCUUCGGCCCUGCUGUUGUUGGAAACCAAUUUAAUCGCAGUGG